UUAGCAACACAAGUAUUAAAGGUCCUGCCUGCCCAGUGAACUAUUUUAAACGGCCGCGGUAUUCUAACCGUGCAAAGGUAGCGUAAUCAUUUGUCUUCUAAAUAAAGACCAGUAUGAACGGCUAAAUGAGGACAAACCUGUCUCCUACAACCCAUCAGUGAAACUGAUCUUCCAGUCCAAAAGCUGGAAUAUUACCAUAAGACGAGAAGACCCUGUGGAGCUUAAAAUCCACCUACUAACAAAUACACAAUAACUAGUAUAAGAUUUUAAGUUGGGGCGACUUCGGAACAAAACAAAACUUCCGAGCACAGAACCACCACUUCUAACCAAGGCAUACAAGCCAAAGAAAAAAUUGACCCAGUCACACUGAUCAACGAACCAAGUUACCCCAGGGAUAACAGCGCCAUCUUCUUCAAGAGUCCAUAUCGACAAGAAGGUUUACGACCUCGAUGUUGGAUCAGGGCACCCCAAUGGUGCAACCGCUAUUAAAGGUUCGUUUGUUCAACGAUUAACAGCC
rnacentral:rRNA from 1 species